CCUACGGGCGGCAGCAGUGGGGAAUAUUGGGCAAUGGAGGAAACUCUGACCCAGCGACGCCGCGUGCGGGAUGAAGGCCUUCGGGUUGUAAACCGCUUUCAGCAGGGAAGAAGCGAAGGUGACGGUACCUGCAGAAGAAGCACCGGCUAACUAUGUGCCAGCAGCCGCGGUAAUACAUAGGGUGCAAGCGUUGUCCGGAAUUAUUGGGCGUAAAGAGCUCGUAGGUGGUUCGUCACGUCGGAUGUGAAAAUCUGGGGCUUAACCCCAGACCUGCAUUCGAUACGGGCGAGCUUGAGUAUGGUAGGGGAGUCUGGAAUUCCUGGUGUAGCGGUGGAAUGCGCAGAUAUCAGGAGGAACACCAAUGGCGAAGGCAGGACUCUGGGCCAUUACUGACACUGAGGAGCGAAAGCGUGGGGAGCGAACAGGAUUAGAUACCCUGGUAGUCCACGCCGUAAACGGUGGGCACUAGUUGUGGGGACCUUCCACGGUCUCUGCGACGCAGCUAACGCAUUAAGUGCCCGCCUGGGGAGUACGAUCGCAAGNUUAAAACGUUAAAUUGAAUUGAGGCGUGNGAGNGCGACGACGACGACGAGGAGGAGG
rnacentral:rRNA from 1 species